GACGAACGCUGGCGGCGUGCUUAACACAUGCAAGUCGAACGGAAAGGCCCUGCUUUUGUGGGGUGCUCGAGGGGCGAACGGGUGAGUAACACGUGAGUAACCUGCCCUUGACUUUGGGAUAACUUCAGGAAACUGGGGCUAAUACCGGACAGGAGCUCCUGCUGCAUGGUGGGGGUUGGAAAGUUUCGGCGGGUGGGGAUGGACGCGCGGCUGAUCAGCUUGUUGGUGGGGUAGUGGCUUACCAAGGCUUUGACGGGUAGCCGGCCUGGGAGGGUGACCGGCCACAUUGGGACUGAGGUACGGCCCAGACUCCUACGGGAGGCAGCGGUGGGGAAUAUUGCACAAUGGGCGGAAGCCUGAUGCAGCAGCGCCGCGUGCGGGAUGACGGCCUUCGGGUUGUAAACCGCUUUCGCCUGUGACGAAGCGUGAGUGACGGUAAUGGGUGAAGAAGCACCGGCUAACUACGUG
rnacentral:rRNA from 1 species